rnacentral:rRNA from 1 species
CCUACGGGAGGCUGCAGUGAGGAAUAUUGGUCAAUGGACGAGCGUCUGAACCAGCCAAGUAGCGUGAAGGAUGACUGCCCUAUGGGUUGUAAACUUCUUUUAUAUGGGAAUAAAAUGUUCCACGUGUGGGAUUUUGUAUGUACCAUAUGAAUAAGGAUCGGCUAACUCCGUGCCAGCAGCCGCGGUAAUACGGAGGAUCCGAGCGUUAUCCGGAUUGAUUGGGUUUAAAGGGAGCGUAGGUGGAGUGUUAAGUCAGUUGUGAAAGUUUGCGGCUCAACCGUAAAAUUGCAGUUGAAACUGGCAGUCUUGAGUACAGUAGAGGUGGGCGGAAUUCGUGGUGUAGCGGUGAAAUGCUUAGAUAUCACGAAGAACUCCGAUUGCGAAGGCAGCUCACUGGACUGCAACUGACACUGAGGCUCGAAAGUGUGGGUAUCAAACAGGAUUAGAGACCCGGGUAGUC